rnacentral:rRNA from 1 species
UACGGAGGGGGCUAGCGUUAUUCGGAAUUAUUGGGCGUAAAGGGCGUGUAGGCGGCUUCGCAAGUCUUGUGUGAAAGCCCUCGGCUCAACCGAGGAAUUGCACGAGAAACUCCGUGGCUCGAGUCCGGAAGAGGCGAGUGGAAUUCCUGGUGUAGCGGUGAAAUGCGCAGAUAUCAGGAGGAACACCGAUGGCGAAGGCAGCUCGCUGGGACGGUACUGACGCUGAGGCGCGAAAGCGUGGGGAGCAAACAGG